rnacentral:rRNA from 1 species
UGUUUAUCCCGCCUAUAUACCGCCGUCGUCAGCUUACCCUGUGAAGGUCUAAUAGUAAGCAAAAUUGGCAUCGCCCAGAACGUCAGGUCGAGGUGUAGCGCAUGAGAGGGGAAGAAAUGGGCUACAUUCGCUAUCAUAGCGAAUACGAACGAUGCACUGAAAACGUACAUCUGAAGGAGGAUUUAGCAGUAAGCGGGAAAUAGAGUGUUCCGCUGAAAUCGGCUCUGAAGUGCGUACACACCGCCCGUCACUCUCCCCAAGCUCAUCAAUACAUAUAUCUAAAACGCUUUAACCGCGAAGGGGAGGCAAGUCGUAACAUGGUAAGUGUACCGGAAGGUGCACUUGGAAAAAU